rnacentral:rRNA from 1 species
AGAGUUUGAUCCUGGCUCAGGAUGAACGCUGGCGGCGUGCUUAACACAUGCAAGUCGAACGAAGCACUUUUACAGAUUUCUUCGGAAUGAAGUUUUAGUGACUGAGUGGCGGACGGGUGAGUAACGCGUGGGUAACCUGCCUCACACAGGGGGAUAACAGUUGGAAACGGCUGCUAAUACCGCAUAAGCGCACAGUACCGCAUGGUACAGUGUGAAAAACUCCGGUGGUGUGAGAUGGACCCGCGUCUGAUUAGCUAGUUGGCAGGGCAACGGCCUACCAAGGCGACGAUCAGUAGCCGACCUGAGAGGGUGACCGGCCACAUUGGGACUGAGACACGGCCCAAACUCCUACGGGAGGCAGCAGUGGGGAAUAUUGCACAAUGGGGGAAACCCUGAUGCAGCGACGCCGCGUGAGCGAAGAAGUAUUUCGGUAUGUAAAGCUCUAUCAGCAGGGAAGAAAAUGACGGUACCUGACUAAGAAGCACCGGCUAAAUACGUGCCAGCAGCCGCGGUAAUACGUAUGGUGCAAGCGUUAUCCGGAUUUACUGGGUGUAAAGGGAGCGCAGGCGGAAGGCUAAGUCUGAUGUGAAAGCCCGGGGCUCAACCCCGGUACUGCAUUGGAAACUGGUCAUCUAGAGUGUCGGAGGGGUAAGUGGAAUUCCUAGUGUAGCGGUGAAAUGCGUAGAUAUUAGGAGGAACACCAGUGGCGAAGGCGGCUUACUGGACGAUAACUGACGCUGAGGCUCGAAAGCGUGGGGAGCAAACAGGAUUAGAUACCCUGGUAGUCCACGCCGU